UUUUUUUUUUUUUUUCUACUUGGAAUCUGAGCCACCUUGUCCCGCUUUUGCCCACAGCCUAGCAUGGAAGCAGCUGUUCACCAGAAAGCAUGCCUUCAACUAAUCGGAUUAGUCAAGGCGUUUAUUUUCUCACACCUGUUUUUCAUGGUAACUGAAGAGCUGAGUCCAGAAAUACACAGAGCCGUUCUGUUUGCAGAACACUGUGAAUGCCCUUCCAAGUCCCUGCUCAGUGGUCAGCCCAUAGAGCUCUCCAUUUGUCAGGUGGUGAGACUGACACCCAGGUGGCAAAGUAUGACCAGAUAGAUCCCUCUUCCUGUUCCUUCUGCAGCUCCAGGAGCAGGCUUGGCAUAGAGCUAACCAGGUACUGGGCUUUUAAAAGCAACUGACGUUAUGUUUCCAAGGUCCCUGUUGCAGGAGCAGAUCAUGAGAUUCUGGGUUCCAAAAUCUCAAGACUAUUAAGCCUAUAAUCCCAGCAUUUGUGAUGUUGAGGCAGGAGAAUUGCUGCAACUUUGAGGCUAGCCUGGGCUACAUAGCAGUUACCACCAGACCAGCACUGGUUACAUUGCAAGACUGUUUCAAGAAUAAGACAAAAAAAAAAAAAAAUUAAAAGGUUUGAACCUGGUGGUGCACAUCUGUAAUUCCAACACUUGGAAGGCAGAGGCAGGAAGAUCACGAGUUCAAGACCACCCUGUCUUAAAAUAAAAAUAAAAAGGCCAUCAUAAGCCACAUGGUAAAAUCCCGUGUUUUUGUUUUGUUUGGGGACAUGUGGCCUGAAAGUACUGUGUAGCUGAGGACAGCCAUGAGCUCCAGAUCUUCUGGCCUCUACCUCCUGAGUUCUGGGAUUACAGGCAUGUGCAACCAUACCUAGUUUGAAACUGCUUUAACCAAACAACAUAAAGCUUGUUUUAAAAUGUACCUUUGGAAUUCAAAAUGAGACAGAAUGGCCAUAUCUCCUCCCCCUCAGCCCUGGUCCGGGGGAAGAGUUUCCCAGAAAGUGAGAAAGCUGAAGAGACUUUUAUAAUGAAAGUCCAGACGUAAGAGACGCAGACAGCGCUGAGUCACUGGUUUCCUGGCAGAGUUGCUGGGAUGGAAGAGUUUACCUGUUACUGGAAACCCGAGUUCUCUAGGUUUGCUAUUUCAGUGUGUGUAGCUGCAGCAGCACAGAGCUCAGACCAGCCCUGCGUUGAAAAUUCAGCUAAGCCUGCAUGGAGGGCUAAGGGGUUGAUGGAGCCUUACUGCCAUAUGAGACAAAAAAUAAAUAAAUAAAUAGAAGGAAAGUCAACUCUCACUCAGCAACCAGUGAUCACUAUUCAGGAUUCUAGACUGCUGAGAAGCUUCAAGCUUAAAUUACUGUUUCUUCUCUUUUCUUUGAGAUAUUACAGACACCUUAUAGCAUCCUUGCCCCAGACAGAAGAAGCCACCUUUUUUCUGAACCCAUGUAUUAUUUUCUCCCAAGAUUUUAUGCUUUUAUGCUUUGGAUAUGACUCGUGGUUUGGGAUCCUGGGUUGCAUGCCUCUGAGGGCACUGACAUACUUUGUUCUUAUGCCCCCAAACAGUUGCAUUAAGUCUAAUACAUUCCUCACACCUAUGGCGCCCCAAGGGGUAAAUGGUGGCUAAACAGUUAGUCUACCCAUGAAGGAAAAGAAGCCAGGAGUCCUUCCUCCCCUUGAUCUUAGCCAGAAGGCCAAGAAACAGUCAGGAGUCCUUUCUUUAAGCAUGCAGAUAGAUGUCUUAGUGUCUGCACAUUUCCCUUUUACAUCAGCUGGUCCAAGCUCAAGGCGCGUUGGUGUCCAGCUACUCUCAAUACUGUCCAGGUAAAAGGACUAGAAUUACAGCAGGCAAACCUUUGUGCUCUUCAAGGCUCUAUGGGAAUCCCAGCAGCUCAGCCCUAUUUCUGGCUUUCCAGGGCUGCUGUGGACCUGGUAUCUCUGUGUCUUCUCUGUCCCUACACUGAGUAGGGUUUGGAUCUGUCUCUUUUCCGUGGAGUCAUCAAGUCUGUAAGCCCCUUGUGGGCAGGGAUCCGGCUCCUGGUUUGGCAAUCCUAGACCUCUGCAGGGUUCUGGGCUUUCUACCUUCUUCGAACUGGAGGAGCCACGCCCCCAGGAAGAAGCCACGCCCCAGGAAGAAGCCACCCAUUUCUGGUAUGGUUGCUGCAGCUGGUGUUGUGAAUCAGGCCGACGAGCAGCGCAUCCUCUUACCCGGCUAUUUCACGACACCAGGGUUGCACCCUACCCAUCCUCUCCAGGCAAGCGCCGUGGGACCACAGGACACAGGAACUUGGGGACAGGGUGGGUUGGGACAACUGACUGUGAAAGGUGAUGUUCAGUAGUCCAUAGCCUCCCUAUCAUACCUCACCUCAUAGUCACCUGGGAAGCUUUAGACAGAUGCCAGGGUCUGCCCUCCCCUUGCUCAGCCCAAGCCCACAAAGGCUCUGAGGUGUGAUCUCAGAGCCAGCGAUCCUGAGAGGUUCUAAUCCACGUGCAGCGAGGAGGAAGCAGGCGAGCCCAGGGCUCAGAGUUGAACUGCUCCCCUGUGCUUGGCUGACCGUGCAGUGGCAUCUGCCGGCCCUCCCCAGUCCCACUCCUUUAGAUUUGAUGUACACCACCCAACUGCUGCUCCUGGUACCAAAACACCCAGGGCAAAAGCAGCUCCUCUUCCUGGCAUCCAAAGCCCUUCCUGUCAAGGAUUCCUACUCAGAGACAUCUCUGUCCAUGGAGCUCUCCCACCCCACCCUCCAAAAAGAAAAAAAACUGACUUCAUACACAAUGCUAAUGCUAUCAUCUCUGUCUUCAGGACACGAUACCCCAUUGCCACUUGUAAAUAGCUCUAUGAGCCCCCGGGUUCCUUUUUUCACAUGCACACCCUGCCUGCCUGGUCCUAACACACAGGCCUUCCUGCUCCGUUGGAAGCCCAAGCCACCUUUUGUCCAGGGCCUUUGCUCUUCCUGCCUACCUCCCCCACCCCAUCCCCCACCCCCUUUGCAGUUCCUGCUCACAUAUGGGUGGCCAAGCUCAAGAUUUGCAUCCUCAGAGAGACCUAAGAAAAGCUUUAUUUUCUUCAUAGCACGUAUCACUACGUGUAUUUUGGUGAUUGCUUGUCUGUGCAUUGCUGCCUGUCUCGCCCUCUAGAAUGUGAGCCCCCAGAGGACAGGGAUUUGUUUUGGGGAGGGUGGGGGGUUGCUCAGCACAGAAAAUCAUAUGUGUUAUUACCUAAUGAUCGAGGUGGAAUGGAUAGAUGACCCCUUCAGCCUGCUAUCCCACCAAUUCUCUGUCACCAGCCAACCCACCUCUUCCUCUGUCCCUGCCCACCUUUUCCCUCAGCCCCCAUCUCCUGUGAGGUCCCUUUCUCUGCUGGUGCUUCAUGCUCUAAGCUUCCAGGCUCAGAACCUGGUCUAUAUGAGAAACUUUUUGGAGGGGCCUCUGUGGCCAAGAAGAUGGCAGGACUACUGUUGGGUAGCUAUGAUGUGCCCUCCUGUCCUUGUGGCUCAGCCAGAGGAUAUUGUUUCUGAUCUGAGUCUGUCUGGUCCUUGGCUGGCCUUGGUACAGUGUGGCUCCCACCUUGCUGUUGUGGUGGGGAGACUUGCUCAGAGACACCCCUAAAACAAACAGAAUGGAAACUCCUUGAGGUUCAAUUCCAGGACUACUCAGAGUAGGGGUCCUAUGUCCUCUCAGAAGCUGGAUUCAGGAUGUAUGCCAUUCCAUUUUCAGGGCAGUCAUUUUCAGGGUCUGUGCUUUGGCACAAGGUGUCAAACAGUCACCAACUGUCCUACUGAUAAGCCCCUUAAGGGACCCAGCCUAAACCUCUUUCUACUCCAGAGAGUGCAGUGGGGCAGCAGGUUUGGGGAAGCAGCCCUACAUCCCUUGCAGCUAACAUGAGUGCUUUGCAGAAAGGAAGAACUUAUGUGCCAAGGUCAUUCAGCAAUUUCAUAGCCUCUUACUCCUGGCUGAAAACCAGCCCUGGCCUCUUCUAUCCCAAGAUCUUUAUCAGGAAUUUUCCGUAGCUGCCAGGGCACAGUGUGUUGGAAUGGUGUGGGGAUGCUGGGGAGCUGUGAUUUUUGCCAGGUAGCUGGCGAUUUAAAACUCAGAAGAUAAGAUCUACCCCAAGGGCCAUGGACCUGCUGGGGGGUGGCGUGGGGGAGGCUUUACAAAUCUCACCAUCCCUGCCAAGGUAGAAAACUGGCCCGGAGGAGUCCUUGGCCCCUGAGUCCUUACUUCAAGCCUUCAGCCCUGCUGGAAGCUGGCAGAGGAAAGAAGUGUUUAUGUCUUCCUCUGCCCGCCACUUAAUGUCCAAUAGAGGCAGGAUCUGUGCCAUGGGAAUCCCCAAAGACCCCUUGUAAGCUCGUCUCCACCUGGCUUAGCUCUCCUUGGUUCUAGUCUCCAUUCAUUCCCUGUACAACCAACAAGCACUUAUUGAGCCCGUGUCUGAAACUCUGGUUGGUUGAGAUAGUCGCUGAACAAUCUAUUGUGCGAGGCCCCUGCCUCUGUGGCUGACUUCCUUUCCAAGAAAUUGGAGGGAACACUGCCCCUCCAUGAAAGGGAGCACUGAGGUCUGAGAGCAUCUCCAUGCUAGUAGGGUGACUCUGGGACGGUCUCUAACUGGUCUCAACACCGUCUUCCUAGCUAGACACAUUUGCCCUGGUCUCUCUAGCCCAGAGUACCAGGGGCCAGCUGGGUCUCUUGAAAGCACCCACCAGAGUGCAAUUUCCUGUUGGAGGUAGCAGGGCCUGGAUGCCUUGGGGCAGGUCCUCUAGGGGAUAUGGGUAGACUCUGAGAAGUAGGGCCUGGAGUGCUUUCCUCUAGUUUCCUCUGGAAGAUACUGGAGCCUGAGCCUGAACAGAGUCCCACCAUGAGUAGACAGCAGCCCUCUGACCUUCACCCACCCUAGGUCUCCAUAGGAACAAAGCAGGUAAAAGGCCUCCUCCAGGAAGCCUUCCCUGGUUGUCCACAACACCUUGACCCUUCUCCAGUGGUCCACUCCUCCAGCUGUCUGCUGACCUCCCAGCUGGUCUGGUCUGUUGUAGCUGUAGCUUCCCAUGAGCCCUUGCUCCACCAUGGCUUCUCUGAGUCCCUGGGCUCCUGCUGCCACACAGCAUGGGGUGCUGGCUGGUCUGUUGGACAGUGACAAGAGUCCUCAGAUCUUAUUUUAAAUUCCAUAAACUUAUUUUAAAUUUCAUUAAAAAAAAAUCUUGUGCCACAUGUGGUGGCACACGCCUUUAAUCCCAGUACUUGGGAGACAGAGGCAGAAGGAUCUCUGUGAGUUCGAAGCCAGCCUGGUCUACAAAGUGAAUUAGAGGCCAGCCAGGACUAUUACUGUCUGGAAAAAAAAAAUCUUGCAAGUUAAUAAUAAUAUUCAAACAAAAUUUAACCAUACCCAAGGUCAGUACAACUUAGUGAACUUCUAUACAGUUAGAAUUGGCAUAGAAACAGAAGCUAUAGAGCUUCAUGUUAAAUUUUACACCUUUAGUGUCAAAUGUAUUUUUUGCAAUUGUCCACCAUCCAAAUCAAAAAAUAAAAAACUGUGACGGAGUUAGAACUAGGAAUACAUCAGCUUUUUGUCCCCUUUCUGUGUCCUGCUCUUUGUGCCAUCCUUCCUCAUUCCUUUAUAUUCAGCCUUUCUUAUGCUCUUUCUUCAUGUUAUACUGUACCCACGGGUACUUUUGUUUUUAUGCAUACAUAUAUUUUUGGCUAGAUUCCACAGGAGGGAGAGUGUGUGGUUUAUUUCUGAAGUUGUAUGAUCUCACCUAAUAUUCAUACUGAGACUGUCCAUUUUCCCGAAAACAUUUUAACUUGAUAGCCAAGUAGCAUGCAUAUAUAUAAUUUAUACUUAUAUAACUUAUGUAUACAUGGUUUAUACAUAUACAUAGUUUUUUUUACCCAUUCAUUUGUUGAUUGUCAAGGUCGAUUCCAAAUCUUUGUUAUAGUCAAUAAAGCAGCAAGAAGCAUG
rnacentral:lncRNA from 1 species